GACGAACGCUGGCGGCGUGCUUAACACAUGCAAGUCGAACGGAAAGGCCCUGCUUUUGUGGGGUGCUCGAGUGGCGAACGGGUGAGUAACACGUGAGUAACCUGCCCUUGACUUUGGGAUAACUUCAGGAAACUGGGGCUAAUACCGUAUAGGAUCUCCUGCUGCAUGGUGGGGGUUGGAAAUUUUCGGCGGGUGGGGAUGGACUCGCGGCUUAUCAGCUUGUUGGUGGGGUAGUGGCUUACCAAGGCUUUGACGGGUAGCCGGCCUGAGAGGGUGACCGGCCACAUGGGGACUGAGAUACGGCCCAGACUCCUACGGGAGGCAGCAGUGGGGAAUAUUGCACAAUGGGCGGAAGCCUGAUGCAGCAACGCCGCGUGCGGGAUGACGGCCUUCGGGUUGUAAACCGCUUUCGCCUGUGACGAAGCGUGAGUGACGGUAAUGGGUAAAGAAGCACCGGCUAACUACGUG
rnacentral:rRNA from 1 species